GACGAACGCUGGCGGCGUGCCUAAUACAUGCAAGUAGAACGCUGAAGGAGGAGCUUGCUUCUCUGGAUGAGUUGCGAACGGGUGAGUAACGCGUAGGUAACCUGCCUGGUAGCGGGGGAUAACUAUUGGAAACGAUAGCUAAUACCGCAUAAGAGUAGACGUUGCAUGACAUUUGCUUAAAAGGUGCAAUUGCAUCACUACCAGAUGGACCUGCGUUGUAUUAGCUAGUUGGUGAGGUAACGGCUCACCAAGGCAACGAUACAUAGCCGACCUGAGAGGGUGAUCGGCCACACUGGGACUGAGACACGGCCCAGACUCCUACGGGAGGCAGCAGUAGGGAAUCUUCGGCAAUGGGGGGAACCCUGACCGAGCAACGCCGCGUGAGUGAAGAAGGUUUUCGGAUCGUAAAGCUCUGUUGUAAGAGAAGAACGAGUGUGAGAGUGGAAAGUUCACACUGUGACG
rnacentral:rRNA from 1 species